GUCGGCGCUGACCUGGCCGAUCGGGUUGCCGUUGCCAUCGGUGAGGGUGAUGGUGCUGUUCGGCUCGGCGGUGCCGGUG
rnacentral:tRNA from 2 species